rnacentral:rRNA from 1 species
UUGGAGUCCGAACUCUCACUUUCUAACCCUGUGCACUUGUUUGGGAUAGUAACUCUCGCAAGAGAGCGAACUCCUAUUCACUUAUAAACACAAAGUCUAUGAAUGUAUUAAAUUUUAUAACAAAAUAAAACUUUCAACAACGGAUCUCUUGGCUCUCGCAUCGAUGAAGAACGCAGCGAAAUGCGAUAAGUAAUGUGAAUUGCAGAAUUCAGUGAAUCAUCGAAUCUUUGAACGCACCUUGCGCUCCAUGGUAUUCCGUGGAGCAUGCCUGUUUGAGUGUCAUGAAUACUUCAACCCUCCUCUUUCUUAAUGAUUGAAGAGGUGUUUGGUUUCUGAGCGCUGCUGGCCUUUACGGUCUAGCUCGUUCGUAAUGCAUUAGCAUCCGCAAUCGAACUUCGGAUUGACUUGGCGUAAUAGACUAUUCGCUGAGGAAUUCUAGUCUUCGGAUUAGAGCCGGGUUGGGUUAAAGGAAGCUUCUAAUCAGAAUGUCUACAUUUUAAGAUUAGAUCUCAAAUCAGGUAGGACUACCCGCUGAACUUAAGCAUAUCAAUA